rnacentral:tRNA from 1 species
GGGUUGCUAGUAUAUAUUUAGUAUAGCGGGCUCAUGCCCUGAAGGGUGGGGUAAUAGUUCUUAGCCUUGGGCUUUCAAUGUUUCCCGGCAAUCCA